rnacentral:miRNA from 1 species
UCACUCAAGGAGGUUGUGAUG